AGACUUUGAUUAUGGCUCAGAUUGAACGCUAGCGGGAUGCUUUACACAUGCAAGUCGAACGGCAGCAUGAGAGAGCUUGCUCUCUUGAUGGCGAGUGGCGGACGGGUGAGUAAUGUAUCGGAACGUGCCCGGUAGUGGGGGAUAACUACGCGAAAGCGUGGCUAAUACCGCAUAUUCUCUACGGAGGAAAGAGGGGGAUCGUAAGACCUCUUGCUACCGGAGCGGCCGAUAUCAGAUUAGCUAGUUGGUGGGGUAACGGCCUACCAAGGCGGUGAUCUGUAGCUGGUUUGAGAGGACGACCAGCCACACUGGGACUGAGACACGGCCCAGACUCCUACGGGAGGCAGCAGUGGGGAAUUUUCGACAAUGGGGGGAACCCUGAUCGAGCCAUCUCGCGUGUGGGGACGAAAGGCCCUUCGGGUUGUAAACCCACUUUUUCUCAACCAAAAAAAAAGUCUUAAGGCUUAAUACCUUAAGAAUGCUUUACC
rnacentral:rRNA from 1 species